CGGUGGCGGAGAGUUCGUUGGAGGCGAUUUAACCGGCAGUAUAAAAUGGUGUUGGUACAAUAUGUUGAGACGACACAAUCUGGUACAUGUAAGGCAUUUUGUCAAUUCUAAAAACAUAAUCAAUCAAACAAAUUAUCUUCGUCUCUUUGACUCUUUCUCUCGGUCGUGUUCAUCAUUGAAUCCCAGCUUCUUCGAAGUGAUCCUUCACUUGUACACUGCGAUUUUCUGUUUUUCUUCAACGAUUGCUAACAGGGAAAACCUAACCGUUGAGCUAAUCCACCGUGACUCUCCUCAUUCUCCACUUUACAACCCUCACCACACCGUCUCCGACGGUCUCAACGCUACUUUCCUCCGCUCAAUCUCACGCUCUCGCCGUUUCAAUACCAAAACCGACCUCCAAUCCGGGUUGAUUUCAAAUGGCGGCGAAUACUUGAUGAGUAUCUCAAUCGGUACUCCUCCGUCGAAAGUCCUUGCCAUCGCUGACACGGGAAGUGACCUAACUUGGGUUCAAUGCAAGCCAUAUCAACAAUGUUACAAACAAAACAGUCCACUCUUCGACAAGAAGAAAUCUAAGGAAAAGGAAGGAGAAAAACCCUAACGAAAUUCCUACCAUUUUUGUUUUCAUUUGCAGUUGCGAAUUGGGAUUGGCUAAAGCAGCUCCGAUUGCACAAAAAUGGCUUCUCGUAUCAUCAUCAAUCAUUCCUAAAAGGUUCUUAAACUUGGACGCACCAUGCGGCUUUGUAAGGUCUCAAAUGUCAAAUCUCUGAGAUUGGAAAAUGAAGCAACCAUUGAUUUCUGGAAAUGCUUAUCUUAUCGUGUUAAAAGGUAAACUUUGUGCUGAUGUGUAAUUCUCUGUUAGCGAAAACAUAUUUAUAGAUGUCAUAGUCUCUUGGCGUUUAGGUUAGAGAAUUUAAGAAAUUCGUGUUGAGAAAGUAUAGAAUAUCUUUACAAAUCUUUGAUUCAAUAAUAUAUAGAAUAUGCUUUAUAGAUAAUUCGUCAAAAUUAAGAACAAAUAGUUUGAUUUAUUAGACAUUUCCAAUUGAUGUUGUGUAUAUUGAAUGUAGACAUUAUAUUGUUCAAUUUUAUUAGGAAACUGAAUAGAUUUGUAGAAUAUAUUUAGCAUAUAAAUGGGAUACAAUGAGAUAAACAAAUCGUCAGAAAUUAAAGUAUAUUGUUAGGAUUCCAUGUUUAGUUGUUAUAAUCGUAUAAUUAAUGUUGUAAUUAUUGUAGAAAAAAUCUUACCAAAAUAGAUUAUACAUAAUAAUAGUCAAAAUUUGUGGAAGAGAUUCCAUUGUUAGGAUUUGUUAGAUUAGGAAUGUAAUUAAGAGGAUAUUUAGUCGAAUUAGUUGAUUUUUUUUUUGGAAAGUCGCAUUUAAAAGAAUCCGAGAGUUUUGAUUGGCCA